rnacentral:tRNA from 3 species
GGUUCAUUAGCCAAGUGGUAAGGCAAUGGUCUGCAAAACCAUGAUCGCAGGUUCGAUUCCUGCAUGGGCCUCAA